AGAGUUUGAUCCUGGCUCAGAUUGAACGCUGGCGGCAUGCCUUACACAUGCAAGUCGAACGGCAGCACGGGGGCAACCCUGGUGGCGAGUGGCGAACGGGUGAGUAAUACAUCGGAACGUGUCCUGUAGUGGGGGAUAGCCCGGCGAAAGCCGGAUUAAUACCGCAUACGCUCUACGGAGGAAAGGGGGGGAUCUUAGGACCUCCCGCUACAGGGGCGGCCGAUGGCAGAUUAGCUAGUUGGUGGGGUAAAGGCCUACCAAGGCGACGAUCUGUAGCUGGUCUGAGAGGACGACCAGCCACACUGGGACUGAGACACGGCCCAGACUCCUACGGGAGGCAGCAGUGGGGAAUUUUGGACAAUGGGGGCAACCCUGAUCCAGCAAUGCCGCGUGUGUGAAGAAGGCCUUCGGGUUGUAAAGCACUUUUGUCCGGAAAGAAAACGCCGUGGUUAAUACCCGUGGCGGAUGACGGUACCGGAAGAAUAAGCACCGGCUAACUACGUGCCAGCAGCCGCGGUAAUACGUAGGGUGCAAGCGUUAAUCGGAAUUACUGGGCGUAAAGCGUGCGCAGGCGGUCCGCUAAGACAGAUGUGAAAUCCCCGGGCUUAACCUGGGAACCGCAUUUGUGACUGGCGGGCUAGAGUAUGGCAGAGGGGGGUAGAAUUCCACGUGUAGCAGUGAAAUGCGUAGAGAUGUGGAGGAAUACCGAUGGCGAAGGCAGCCCCCUGGGCCAAUACUGACGCUCAUGCCACGAAAGCGUGGGGAGCAAACAGGAUUAGAUACCCUGGUAGUCCACGCCCUAAACGAUGUCAACUAGUUGUCGGGUCUUCAUUGACUUGGUAACGUAGCUAACGCGUGAAGUUGACCGCCUGGGGAGUACGGUCGCAAGAUUAAAACUCAAAGGAAUUGACGG
rnacentral:rRNA from 1 species